AGAGAGACGCCAGGGAUCGGUGAGGAAAGACGUUGAGGAAUCCUCGGUAAUUCGGCCAUGCCGUGCGGGAUCUAGAUAUAACUGUAACUGUUGGACCGUCUUUUACUUUAUGUGAACUGUGAUCCGUCUGUUAACUGUGAUCUUCCUGUGAACUGUGAUUCGUCCGUGUGCGCGUACCGACCCGUAAAACUGCACCUUCCUGUCGCCAUUCAAUCAGCUGAGUAUCUGUGAAACUUUGUUAAGAUUGUUUGAUUCUGUAUUUGUUUAUCGUUUGUGUGUAAUCUAUUAAAUGUGUAAACGUU
rnacentral:sRNA from 1 species